CAUUUUCUAAAGCAGUGCACCGAGUU
rnacentral:piRNA from 1 species